UGAAGGGAAUCAGAUCACCAAUCUGGAAGAUAAUGCCUUCGAUGGUUUGUCAAAUUUAAAGACACUGUAUCUGGAAGGGAAUCAAAUCACCACUUUGGAAGAUAAUGCCUUUGACGGUUUGUUAAGUUUACAGACACUGUGGCUGGAGUCCAACAAAAUAACUACGAUUCAAAACAACACCUUUAACGGUUUGCAAAAUUUACAAAAACUAGGUCUUUCUUACAACAGAAUCACCACAGUUCAGGACAAUGUUUUUGCCGGCUUACACAAUUUAAGUUAUCUAUUUCUGCACCGAAACCAGAUAUCCGCAAUACCAAACAAUGUCUUUAAAGAAUUGCCAAAUUUAGAGACACUAUCUCUUUUCGAAAACAAAAUCACAUUAAUACAGAACGAUUCUUUUAA